rnacentral:other from 1 species
GAGGAACUACUGUCUUCACGCAGAAAGCGUCUAGCCAUGGCGUUAGUAUGAGUGUCGUGCAGCCUCCAGGACUCCCCCUCCCGGGAGAGCCAUAGUAGUCUGCGGAACCGGUGAGUACACCGGAAUUGCCAGGAUGACCGGGUCCUUUCUUGGAUCAACCCGCUCGAUGCCUGGAGAUUUGGGCGUGCCCCCGCAAGAUUGCUAGCCGAGUAGUGUUGGGUCGCGAAAGGCCUUGUGGUACUGCCUGAUAGGGUGCUUGCGAGUGCCCCGGGAGGU